rnacentral:rRNA from 1 species
AUUGAACGCUGGCGGCAGGCUUAACACAUGCAAGUCGAGCGGGGUGAUGGUGCUUGCACUAUCACUUAGCGGCGGACGGGUGAGUGAUGCUUAGGAAUCUGCCUAUUAGAGUGGGACAACAUCUCGAAGGGGAUGCUAAUACCGCAUACGUCCUACGGGAGAAAGCAGGGGAUCACUUGUGACCUUGCGCUAAUAGAUGAGCCUAAGUCGGAUUAGCCAGUAGGUGGGGUAAAGGCAGACCAAGGCGACGAUCUGUAGCGGGUCGGAGAGGAUGCUCCGCCACACAGGGACCGAGAGAUGGCAGCGACUUCUACGGGAGGCAGCAGUGAGGAAUAUUGCACAAUGGGGGGAACCCUUAUCUAGCCAUGCCGCGUGUGUAAAGAAGGCCUUAUGGUUAUAAAGAACUUUAAUCGAGGAGGAGGCUCUUUUCGUUAAUACCCAAGAUUAGUGGACGUUACUCGCAUCAUAAGCACCGGCUAACUCUGUGCCAGCCGCCGCCGUAC